UGAGGAAUAUUGGUCAAUGGGCGGGAGCCUGAACCAGCCAAGCCGCGUGAGGGAAUAAGGCCCUAUGGGUCGUAAACCUCUUUUGUCGGGGAACAAAAGCGGGGACGUGUCCCCGUCUGCGUGUACCCGAAGAAAAAGCAUCGGCUAACUCCGUGCCAGCAGCCGCGGUAAUACGGAGGAUGCGAGCGUUAUCCGGAUUUAUUGGGUUUAAAGGGUGCGUAGGCGGUAUGGUAAGUCAGCGGUAAAAGCCCGGGGCUCAACCCCGGCGAGCCGUUGAAACUGCCGUGCUAGAGAGGAAGAGAA
rnacentral:rRNA from 1 species